CAUUCACAUUGGCCUAUGCAUCCACAUAUGCAAAGCCAGUUUUACAUAAUAUUAGCAUAAAAUCGACCCACAUUGGAUUCUUCAUUUCCAAAAUUUUAGCUAACUAUAAACAGUAGAUUUACAACUUUCCAUAUCCACUAUUUUAUCUCCAAAUUAUAUUUUAAUAGUUAUUUCUCUCUCCUCCCACACUCUCUCUCUCCGAAACCCUCCCCAAACGAUAUUAUUUCUCUCUCUCUCCCCGAAACCCUCCCAAGGGAUUAUUUCUCUCGAAGCAGAGCUCUCCACACGGUUUCUCCCCUCCGAAUCUCCAUCCCUCUCUCGACCCAAACAACCCCACCGGAAGAAGAGAAUCCGUGCACCUCUCUAAGGCGACGGUUGUCGACGGAGCUUGCAACUACUGAAGUGAAUCAUCCCGGUUGCUGGUUUGCUGAAAUUUCUUCUAUUUCAGUGCUUUUCCUGAAACCUUUUGCUCUUCUUUUGGGAUUGUUGACAUUAAAUUGAGAUUGAAUAUAAUGAAUCAUUAUAGAGAGAGACACAGAGCGAAAGGGAGAGGGAUUAAAAUCGAUGAUGCAUUAAUGGAAGUAAUUCUCUUUGUAUGGCAUUGUCUUUUGGUUCUGCUUGAACACUUACUCAUGAUGUGGAGCUGCACUUCCUGAGCUUCUUCCAUGUUGAAUAUCAAGAUGUUUCAAAGAUAUAGAUAUAUAGAGAGACAAAACUAAAUGGCAAUAAUUGCUUAAUCUGAAUUUUGUAAACUAUUGACCUUGCUUAAUAUGAAUUUUGUAAACUGUUGACCUUGCUUAAUAUGAAUUUUGGCCUUGUUUUUUGUAAUAUGUGCUGUUUUGUACCUCUCUUUAUGGGGAGAUUGUUUUGUUGGUGGUUGGUGGUGGGUGGGAACAUUUUGUUGGAUGAAUUUUGUUUUGGGUGGGAUAUUGUUGUAUUGCUUGCUGCUUGUUGGUGCUGGAGCCGUUGGAGGACCCAAUGGCAAGGUUGUUUUUGUUGCUGCUGAAGGGUGCUGGAGGGUGCUGGAGCUGCUGAGGCUGCUGAAGGGUGCUGGAGCUGCUGAGGCUGCUGGAGGGUGCUGGGCGUGCAGUUAUUUUCUGGUUGCUGGAUUUCAUAUAUGCUGAAUUUGUUGGUUGCUGAAUUUGUAUAAAAAUCAACUUUUUGUAACUUGUAUUAAGUUGAUUUUGAUACAUAGAAUUAGUCACAUGUAAAUUCUGAAGUUGAUAUUAGUCAAAUGUAAUCUGAAGUUGAUAUUAGUCA